UAAAAGCUGCAGUGAAUACUCUCUGACUACAGAAAGCUUAGGCUGCAUUGCCCGAAGUUGCAUUAAGCAGAGCCUCAUCAGCAUUCAGCACCACUGCCAUAGCGUUAAGCCUGGAAGAAGUGGGAAAAAUUACCUACUGAAACAUAAGAAGAAAAGAUGAAAAGAGACCAGUGAGAAGAAAGAAAAGCGCCUUAUUUCUGUGCUGAAGCUUCUUUAUCUAAUGGAUCCCCCUCCCAAGCAAUGUUGCGAAUGGCAGGCUAUCAAAGAACUGAGAAAUGCUAUGAGGAAAACCUACUUUUCUUCCAUGAGGAUUCAAGAGCUGGGGAACGGAGAUUCUGUCUUGGGAGAAAUAUGGGGCAAUGGUUGGUUGAAGCACAGUUAAAGUUGACUGGAUUAUGUGGAGUGGUUGGGUGGUGGUGAGAAGGUUUGCAGGUGCAACUGAGAGAGACUGAGGGAACGCAGGAAGGAAGUGGUUUGUUGAGGAAAAUGGGAGCAAGGAAUAAUACAAAUCUUCACAUUAAAUGGGGAAAGAAACAAGAAGUUCUCUAGGCCUUUUCUACUCUAGCCUUUCCCCUGUCCUUUAAGGUAAAUCUUUGUCUUGGUUUCCUAGGUAUAAUGACAACUUUAUGCUCUUGAUGGCAAAGUGAAGAAGGCAGAGUUCCGUUGCUCCUACACAUCUUCAUUCAGUCAAGGACUGACAUUACUUAGAAGGCAAAAGAACAACCUCAUUGGUGCAUCAAAACUACUUUUCAUAUCUGUAAGAAAAGUAGAUUAGAAUCCUUUGAUUUCUCAUUCUGUCAGCAGGCGUAAAAAGCUAGAGGAAUCCACAGGCCAAGUCCUCACUAGGGAAAGUGGUUACCAGUCUCCCCAAAAAUCCAAAGGAAAUACACAAUGUGUUGCAGGAGAAUGAAUUAGAAGAUUUUUCUUAGUUCACUGAUGUCUUUGAAGAGUCGUCUCAGAUCUAGCAGCAGUUAAAAAGCCUUAUUCCAAUGCAAAGAUCAAAGCUUAUUCUGGAGCUUAGUGAACUUUACUUGUGAUUUUCAACUUUCAUUUAAAUAACUGAUGAAAACACCAUAAUUUUUCAAUUUCCAGUUCAUCCUAUCAAAAUCUAAUUUUUUGUUUUGGCUCAGACUGUAGCCACUUACACUUUGAUGAAUGAAAAUGACCAUAGUCAUAAUGCUCUCAAACUUCCAACUGUAAACAUACAGGAAACUUUUCCUUCCCUUUUCCCUUUCAGUAAUAAUCUUUCCCAUCUGUAUCAAAACCAGAGACCUGCUUUUUCAAUAACUGUCAGUAAUAAAAAGUAUUUUCCUUCUGA